GCGCUUCAUCAACAAGCAUUUUCCAAAUCUCGAAUCGAGCUUGCCCGAUGCGAAGCCGAACUCAAGAAGCUGGUGGAAGAGAGGGACAACCUCAAAUGCCUCUAUGUACAGAAAGAGGAGGAGGUCAGGGAUCUCCGAGUUGAAUUGGUGAAGGCUCGUCAAGAACAGACUGAGCUCAUCGAAAAAGGCCCAGCAGAAAGGCGAGCUGGUGGAGCAGCUUCGAGAAGAGCUCAAGGUGAAAGAGGCUGAGACCCUGGGGUGGAAGCAACACAUGGACCGUCUCGCUUAUGAGAAAGAUACACUUCGGGACCAGGUGGCUUCGAUCGAACGCUAGCUUCAAAAUGCAAAGGGGGAAAGCUUGGCUCGGAGCCGCAAGACGAGGAGCUCGAAGCUAAAUCUGCCGUGAGCUUGCGAAGGCCAAAUCUGAGGUGGAGGCAUUUGUGUACUAGUGUCGAGCUGACGCCGAAGCUGCUAAAAUUCGGGCACAGGAGAUUUCAAUUGCGGCUGAAGUCAAAUUAUCAUAUGCUCUUGAUUACUCUCGAGGAGGUGCACGCUUGUGGCUUCGACUUCUCAGCUGAUAUUGAAAAGGCAAAAACUUUGGAGGACGAGGCUGCUGCUUUACUUUCUGAUGAUGAAAAUUCUGCUAGUGGCUCUGAGAGCGAAGGAGGCGAGGAUGAAGUCCCCGAGGAGGAGGUUCCCGAAGUUGCGGCUCUCAAAGACGUGGCUCUCGAGAUGCGGCUCCCGAGGAUGUGGCUCCCAAAGUAGAUUAGGCUCUUUUGUUUUUUGUUUUUGUGCAAGUCCCCUUGUGGGCACUGUAAAUACCUCUUAUGAAUAUAAGGAAUUCUUUUUCUUCC